GACGUAGGGUCCAAGCGUUGUCCGGAUUUACUGGGCGUACAGAGCGCGUAGGCGGCUCGUUAAGUGUGAAGUGAAAUCUCCAGGGCUCAACCCGGAAACUGCUUUACAUACUGGCGAGCUGGAGUGAUGCAGAGGUUUGUGGAAUUCCUGGUGUAACGGUGAAAUGUGUUGAUAUCAGGAGGAACACCCAUGGCGAAGGCAGCAAACUGGGCAUCAACUGACGCUGAGGCGCGAAAGCGUGGGUAGCAAACAGG
rnacentral:rRNA from 1 species